UGCUCGGGUCCCCUUCCACACUGUGGAAGCUUUGUUCUUUUGCUCUUUGCAAUAAAUCUUGCUACUGCUCACUCUUUGAGUCCACGCUGCUUUUAUGAGCUGUAACACUCACCGUGGAUCUGCAGCUUCACUCCUGAGCCCAGCGAGACCAUGAGCCCACCGGGAGGAACGAACAACUCCAGAAACGCUGCCUUAAGAGCUGUAACACUCACCGCGAAGGUCUGGAGCUUCACUCCUGAGCCAGCGAGACCACGAACCCACCAGAAGGAAGAAACUCCGAACACAUCUGAACAUCAGAAGGGACAGACUCCAGACGCACCACCUUAAGAGCUGCAACACUCACCGCGAGGGUCCGCAGCUUCAUUCUUGAAGUCAGUGAGACCAAGAACCCACCAAUUCCGGACACAUUUUGGCGACCACGAAGGGACAGACUCCAGACGUGCCACCUUAAGAGCUGUAACACUCACUGCGAGGGUCCGCAGCUUCAUUCCUGAAGUCAGUGAGACCAAGAACCCACCAAUUCUGGUCACAUUUUGGCGACCACGAAGGGACUUUCACCUAUCGCCAAGCGGUGAGACAAUCGCCGAGCGGUGAGACCUUUGCCUAUCGCCAAGCACACCCAGAGAUCCUCUCUGCACCACACCACCUUGUCUGCUGGGAAGUGGGGGAGGAGUGGCCUCAGUGAUUCAAGACUCUCCUUUCUACCUCUUGAGAGUGUCUUUCAGCAAUACGAAGUUGAAACCAGGGUCUCCCUCUGUAACCCAGCGUGGAGUGCAGUGGCACAAACAUGGCUCUCUGCAGCCUUGACCUCCUAGGCUCAAGCAAUCCUCCUGCCUCAGCCUUCUGAGUAGUUGGGAUCACAAGAGUGCACCACUGCAUCUAGCUAAUUAUGUUAUUUUACUUUUUAAAGAGACAGGGUCUCACUUUGUUUGCCAGGCUGGUCUCAAACUGCUGGGCUCAAGCGAUUCUCCUGCCUCAGUCUCCCAAAGUGGUGAGAUUAUAGGUGUGAACCACCGCUCCCAACCCUUUUGCCUAUUUUUUAGCUGAGUUGUUUGUUUUCUUAUUGUUCACUUUUAAGAGUUCUUUGUAUAUUUUGAAUAAUAUUUCUUUAUCGGAUGUGUCUUUUGCUUGAACUUAUUUCUAACUAUAUCUAGAUGAUGUUAUUAAACUGUAUGUCAUACUAAUUUAUUGUAGAUUAUGUAAUAUAUCUCUGAGCCUUUUAGAUAUCAUGUACAUUAUACACAUUACAGCUGAGGUAAAAAUAUGUUCCAAUAACUUUAUUAAAGUUUGUCUCAUAAGACAUUUGAUUUUAGGAAAUUAUGGAUAAUAUUCCUAAUUCUAAUUAUCUUCUUUGUUUUAUUAGUUUAUCAAAUUGGC
rnacentral:lncRNA from 10 species